rnacentral:rRNA from 1 species
UACGGGGGGGGCAAGCGUUGUUCGGAAUUACUGGGCGUAAAGGGCUCGUAGGCGGCCAACUAAGUCGGAUGUGAAAUCCCCAGGCUCAACUUGGGAACUGCAUCCGAUACUGGAUGGCUUGAAUUCGGGAGAGGGAUGCAGAAUUCCAGGUGUAGCGGUGAAAUGCGCAGAUAUCAGGAAGAACACCCGUGGCUAAGGCGGCUCUCUAGUACGUGACUGACGCUGAGACGCGAAAGCGUGGGGAGCGAACAGG